rnacentral:rRNA from 1 species
AGAGUUUGAUCCUGGCUCAGGAUGAACGCUAGCGACAGGCUUAACACAUGCAAGUCGAGGGGCAGCGGGGAGUAGCAAUACUCUGCCGGCGACCGGCGCACGGGUGAGUAACGCGUAUGCAACUUACCUAUCAGAGGAGAAUAGCUCAUCGAAAGAUGAAUUAAUGCUCCAUAAAACAGGGGUCCCGCAUGGGAAUAUUUGUUAAAGAUUUAUCGCUGAUAGAUAGGCAUGCGUUCCAUUAGGCAGUUGGCGGGGUAACGGCCCACCAAACCGACGAUGGAUAGGGGUUCUGAGAGGAAGGUCCCCCACAUUGGUACUGAGACACGGACCAAACUCCUACGGGAGGCAGCAGUGAGGAAUAUUGGUCAAUGGCCGAGAGGCUGAACCAGCCAAGUCGCGUGAAGGAAGAAGGAUCUAUGGUUUGUAAACUUCUUUUAUACGGGAAUAAAGUGAGUCACGUGUGAUUUUUUGCAUGUACCGUAUGAAUAAGCAUCGGCUAACUCCGUGCCAGCAGCCGCGGUAAUACGGAGGAUGCGAGCGUUAUCCGGAUUUAUUGGGUUUAAAGGGUGCGUAGGUGGUCUUUUAAGUCAGCGGUGAAAGUNUGUGGCUCAACCAUAAAAUUGCCAUUGAAACUGGGAGACUUGAGUAUGUNUGAGGUAGGCGGAAUGCGUGGUGUAUCGGUGAAAUGCAUAGAUAUCACGCAGAACUCCGAUUGCGAAGGCAGCUCACCAAAGCAUAACUGACACUGAAGCACGAAAGCGUGGGUAUCAAACAGGAUUAGAUACGCUGGUAGUCCACGCAGUAACACGAUGAUUACUGAGGAGUUUGAAGAUACUAAUGUAAGCUCCACAGCGAAACCGUUAAUUAAUACAACUGGGGAGUACGCCGGCAACGGGGAAAUUCAAAGGAGGAGACGGGGGACCGCACAAACGGAGGUACAUGCGGUUUAAUUCGAUGAUAUGACGAGGAACCUUACACGGGUGUGGACGCAGUAUGACAGAUCGAUGAAACUCGGAUUCUAGCAAUAGCGGAUAGCGAGUGCCGCAUGGCAUAUCAGUGUGCGGAGGGUAGGAUUAAGGCCAAUCGGGCCAACUUGCGCGACAUUCAUUUACGAACCAUUAUGAGGACUUUGGUCGGGAGGGCCAGUAUAACCCCUGAGGAAGGCGGGGAUGACAUCAAAUCAGCACGGCCAUUAUAUCUCGGGGAGACAAUACGCAGUUAGCGACGGCCGUGGACUAAAGGAGCCAGCUCACUUAGUGUGANCAAGGGAGGUUAAUUCUCCAUACCAUGUGUCAGUUCGGAUGGGAGUCUGACACUUGAGUCGGUGAAGGUGGAGAUUGUUAGUAAUCGCGCAUCACCCAUGGCGCGGAGGAUACGUUGCCCGGGGCCUAGUACACACCGCCAGUCAAGGCGAAUUCGUGGACGAUUCAGGGCUAGUCCAUUUAGUGAGGUAAUUGUGGUUAGCAUCUGGGGG